rnacentral:tRNA from 1 species
GCCGCGAUAGCUCAAAUGGGAGAGCUUCAGACUGAAGAUCUUAAGGUCCCUUGUUCAAUGCCGGGUCACGGUA